rnacentral:lncRNA from 1 species
AUGUGGAGGCAAAGGGAAGGAAGGUUAGGGAUCGACCAGGCCGUACAAGAGGCCGUACCGGCCGUACCGUCCGUACUGUCCGGGUCGAUCCAUAACUCGACCAAGCGGGAAGUUACCCGGGUGAAAGGGUUAAACGGCCAAAGGGGUUUUACCUUAGGAGAUAUGACCGUUUGGAUGGAUAGAGUGACCGCGGCUUAUCCUGACAGUCUGGCACAAGCUGUAAAGGCAAAAGGGAACCUAGUCCAAGAUGCCAAAAGCGUGUGACAGCUCCCAUUGGUUUACAUUUGAAUUAAAGCAAUCUUAUCCUUGACCUCACAUGCUUAGCGCUUCUGAAUACCCU